rnacentral:rRNA from 1 species
UACGUAGGUGGCGAGCGUUAUCCGGAAUUACUGGGUGUAAAGGGAGCGCAGGCGGGACGACAAGUCAGCUGUGAAAACUAUGGGCUUAACCCAUAGACUGCAGUUGAAACUGUUGUUCUUGAGUGGAGUAGAGGCAAGCGGAAUUCCGAGUGUAGCGGUGAAAUGCGUAGAUAUUCGGAGGAACACCAGUGGCGAAGGCGGCUUGCUGGGCUCUAACUGACGCUGAGGCUCGAAAGUGUGGGGAGCAAAC